CCUACGGGAGGCAGCAGUGAGGAAUCUUGGUCAAUGGGCGCUAGCCUGAACCAGCCAAGUCGCGUGAAGGAUGACUGCUCUAUGGGUUGUAAACUUCUUUUAUAUGGGAGUAAAGUACAAUAUGUGUACCGCUUUGCAUGUACCUUACGAAUUAGGUUCGGCUAACUCCGUUCCAGCAGCCGCGGUAAUACGGAGGAGCCGAGCGUUAUCCGGAUUUAUUGGGUUUAAAGGGCGCGUAGGCGGUUUGGUAAGUCAGUUGUGAAAGGUCGGGGCUCAACCGUGAAACUGCAGAUGAUACUGGCAGACUUGAGUAAAGUAGGGGUAAGCGGAAUUCGUGGUGUAGCAGUGAAAUGCGUAGAUAUCACGAAGAACACCGAUUGCGAAGGCAGCUUCCUGGACUUUAACUGACGCUGAGGCACGAAGGCGUGGGUAGCAAACAGGAUUAGAUACCCUUGUAGUC
rnacentral:rRNA from 1 species